ensembl:snoRNA
GUUCAGUGAUGUUUUACAAAUGUCUGACCUGAAUGCUAAUGUGGACAAAACUCUUACUGAUGAA